rnacentral:rRNA from 1 species
CGGGCCGCUGAGCGGUUCCUGGAAAUAGCCCUCCAUGAGAUCGUACCCUAAACCGACACAGGUGGACUGGUAGAGAAUACCAAGGCGCUUGAGAGAACGAUGUUGAAGGAACUCGGCAAAAUACCUCCGUAAGUUCGCGAGAAGGAGGCCCCGUUGGCAGGCAACUGUCGGCGGGGGGCACAAACUAGGGGGUGG